GCCUAACACAUGCAAGUCGAACGAGGUAAAUGAGAUGAAGUUUUCGGAUGGAUUCUUAUUUACCGAGUGGCGGACGGGUGAGUAACGCGUGGGUAACCUGCCUCAUACAGGGGGAUAGCAGCUGGAAACGGCUGGUAAUACCGCAUAAGCGCACGGUAUCGCAUGAUACAGUGUGAAAAACUCCGGUGGUAUGAGAUGGACCCGCGUCUGAUUAGCUGGUUGGUGAGGUAACGGCCCACCAAGGCGACGAUCAGUAGCCGACCUGAGAGGGUGACCGGCCACAUUGGGACUGAGACACGGCCCAGACUCCUACGGGAGGCAGCAGUGGGGAAUAUUGCACAAUGGAGGAAACUCUGAUGCAGCGACGCCGCGUGAGUGAAGAAGUAGUUCGCUAUGUAAAGCUCUAUCAGCAGGGAAGAUAGUGACGGUACCUGACUAAGAAGCUCCGGCUAAAUACGUG
rnacentral:rRNA from 1 species